rnacentral:rRNA from 1 species
AUUGAACGCUGGCGGCAGGCCUAACACAUGCAAGUCGAACGGUAACAGGAAGAAGCUUGCUUCUUUGCUGACGAGUGGCGGACGGGUGAGUAAUGUCUGGGAAACUGCCUGAUGGAGGGGGAUAACUACUGGAAACGGUAGCUAAUACCGCAUAACGUCGCAAGACCAAAGAGGGGGACCUUCGGGCCUCUUGCCAUCGGAUGUGCCCAGAUGGGAUUAGCUUGUUGGUGGGGUAACGGCUCACCAAGGCGACGAUCCCUAGCUGGUCUGAGAGGAUGACCAGCCACACUGGGACUGAGACACGGUCCAGACUCCUACAGGAGGCAGCAGUGGGGAAUAUUGCACAAUGGGCGCAAGCCUGGUGCAGCCAUGCCGCGUGUAUGAAGAAGGCCUUCGGGUUGUAAAGUACUUUCAGCGGGGAGGAAGGGAGUAAAGUUAAUACCGUUGCUCAUUGACGUGACCCGCAGAAGAAGCACCGGCUAACUCCGUGC